UACGUAGGGUGCAAGCGUUAAUCGGAAUUACUGGGCGUAAAGCGUGCGCAGGCGGUUUUGUAAGUCUGUCGUGAAAUCCCCGGGCUCAACCUGGGAAUUGCGAUGGAGACUGCAAGGCUGGAGUCUGGCAGAGGGGGUAGAAUUCCACGUGUAGCAGUGAAAUGCGUAGAGAUGUGGAGGAACACCGAUGGCGAAGGCAGCUCCCUGGGUCAAGACUGACGCUCAUGCACGAAAGCGUGGGGAGCAAACAGG
rnacentral:rRNA from 1 species